AGUGGGAUAGCUGGGUCAAAUGGUGGUUCCAUUCUCAAUUUUCUAAGGAAUCUCCAUAUUGCUUUCCAUAGUGGUUGCACCAAUUUGCAGGCCCACCAGUAAU
rnacentral:pre_miRNA from 1 species